rnacentral:rRNA from 1 species
UACGGAGGGGGCUAGCGUUGUUCGGAAUUACUGGGCGUAAAGCGCACGUAGGCAGCUUUGUAAGUUAGAGGUGAAAGCCCGGGGCUCAACCCCGGAAUUGCCUUUGAGACUGCAUCGCUAGAAUUGUGGAGAGGUAAGUGGAAUUCCGAGUGUAGAGGUGAAAUUCGUAGAUAUUCGGAAGAACACCAGUGGCGAAGGCGACUUACUGGACACAUAUUGACGCUGAGGUGCGAAAGCGUGGGGAGCAAACAGG